rnacentral:rRNA from 1 species
UACAGAGGUCCCAAGCGUUGUUCGGAUUCAUUGGGCGUAAAGGGUGCGUAGGCGGCGCGGUAAGUCGGGUGUGAAAUCUCGGAGCUUAACUCCGAAACUGCAUUCGAUACUGCCGUGCUUGAGGACUGGAGAGGAGACUGGAAUUUACGGUGUAGCGGUGAAAUGCGUAGAUAUCGUAAGGAAGACCAAUGGCGAAGGCAGCUCUCUGGGACGGUACUGACGCUGAGACGCGAAAGCGUGGGGAGCGAACAGG